AAUGAACGCUGGCGGCAGGCUUAACACAUGCAAGUCGAACGGACCCUUCGGGGUUAGUGGCGGACGGGUGAGUAAAGUGUGGGAACGUGCCCUUUGGUUCGGAACAGACUCGGGAAACCGGGAGUAAUACCGGAUAAGCCCUACGGGGGAAAGAUUUAUCGCCAAAGGAUCGGCCCGCGUUGGAUUAGGUAGUUGGUGGGGUAAUGGCCUACCAAGCCGACGAUCCAUAGCUGGUUUGAUACGAUUAUCAGCCAAACUGGGACUGAGACACGGCCCAGACUCCUACGGGAGGCAGCAGUUGGGAAUCUUAUACAAUGGGGUAAACCCUGAUCUAGCCAUGCCGCGUGAUCGAUGAAGGCCUUAGGGUUGUAAAGAUCUUUCAGUUGGGAAGAUAAUGACGGUACCAACAGAAGAAGCCCCGGCUAACUCCGUGCCAGCCGCCGCAGUAA
rnacentral:rRNA from 1 species